rnacentral:lncRNA from 1 species
GAGCUUCUUGCCUGCCCUGGGAGAGGAGGAAGCAGCCCGAGGGCUUCAAACAGACUUCAAGAGCAGAGGACAUCUCAGCGUCAGCAAAGGUGGGGACAGUGGCGGGGAGUCACGCUUCUGAAAUCGCGUAGGACAGUGCAUGUGUGCUGCCUUAAGGAAAGGGCUGGAGCUUCGUCUGCAUUCUCUGCGAGGCCUAUGAUCCUCAAAAGUCUAAGGGGCCCGGCCCGGGGACGGUAUGCAAGAUGGCGAGGGGCCCAGCCCGGCCCUGCCCGGGGCGUGCACUCACGGUCUCGGGCUCAGGCUGUAGGGAGGACUGGACACCAUGAGCUGGCUGAGCGCAGACACGAGGAUGAGGAUGAGGAUGGGCAUCAGCUGCACGAACACUCCUAGCCCGCCCUGAGGGGAAGAGCAAGAGCAGUGGUCACAGCCCUGAACAGUGUCGUGUCGCCUGCCUGGGACAGCCCCCUCUCCUCCCUUCCCUCUGACAGCUUUCCCAGAGGACAAAGCAACCGCUUUGGAGCACACGUGUGAGUGUGAGAGCAAGUGGCAGGCCGGGGACACAGACCCUCACCAUCCACAGCUUUCUGAAUUCUGAGCCACACAAAUGUUCUGCAGACAGCAAAGCAUCUAAUUAAAGGGCUGGGAUGCAGUCUGUGGCAUGGAACUGUUCUAGUACCCACAAGGCCUUGGGUGUGAUUCUUAGAACAAAGACAGGACAGCCAGAAAUAAAGGCAUUACACAUG